UUUUGUAACGUAAAAGCUAAAUAAAUUCAUACAUACUGUAAUACAGAUAACCAAAGUAUAAAAUUUAAUUUACAGUGACACGUGGGCCCACGAAUGACAAAAAGUAUCAAAAGAAAUGAACCUACAGUUUUUGGAUGUGGCAAGUCCAAUUGUAGUCCUUGACAAUAUGAGUUAUCUACAAUCUAUUCUGAGCCUGAAAUGGGUGGAAAGGAGGGUGGUGAGAUUAUAUAAUCCUAGUGAGUAAACAAAUACCAUCUAAAAUAUCUAAAGCUGAGUAAAUGGAGACAGAUAAAAUAGUUUAACAUACUGUAAUUCAUCACCUUUCAACUUGUUUCAACCAAAUAAAAUCAAUUCAUAUAAAUAGAGUAAUCAACAUGGCUUAUGAAUUUCUUAAAAGCUUUGGCUCGUGCCAAAAUUAUUCUCAUACCCAAUUAUCAGGGAUACCUUGAUCGAGG
rnacentral:lncRNA from 1 species